rnacentral:rRNA from 1 species
UAAGCAUAUCAAUAAGCGGAGGAAAAGAAACCAACAGGGAUUGCCCUAGUAACGGCGAGUGAAGCGGCAACAGCUCAAAUUUGAAAUCUGGCUUCGGCCCGAGUUGUAAUUUGCAGAGGAAGCUUUAGGCGCGGCACCUUCUGAGUCCCCUGGAACGGGGCGCCAUAGAGGGUGAGAGCCCCGUAUAGUUGGAUGCCUAGCCUGUGUAAAGCUCCUUCGACGAGUCGAGUAGUUUGGGAAUGCUGCUCAAAAUGGGAGGUAAAUUUCUUCUAAAGCUAAAUACCGGCCAGAGACCGAUAGCGCACAAGUAGAGUGAUCGAAAGAUGAAAAGCACUUUGAAAAGAGGGUUAAAUAGCACGUGAAAUUGUUGAAAGGGAAGCGCUUGUGACCAGACUUGCGCCGGGCUGAUCAUCCGGUGUUCUCACCGGUGCACUCUGCCCGGCUCAGGCCAGCAUCGGUUCUCGCGGGGGGAUAAAGGUUCCGGGAAUGUAGCUCCUCCGGGAGUGUUAUAGCCCGGGGCGUAAUGCCCUCGCGGGGACCGAGGUUCGCGCUCUGCAAGGAUGCUGGCGUAAUGGUCAUCAGCGACCCGUCUUGAAACACGGACCAAGGAGUCAAGGUUUUGCGCGAGUGUUUGGGUGUAAAACCCGCACGCGUAAUGAAAGUGAACGUAGGUGAGAGCUUCGGCGCAUCAUCGACCGAUCCUGAUGUUUUCGGAUGGAUUUGAGUAAGAGCGUUAAGCCUUGGACCCGAAAGAUGGUGAACUAUGCUUGGAUAGGGUGAAGCCAGAGGAAACUCUGGUGGAGGCUCGCAGCGGUUCUGACGUGCAAAUCGAUCGUCAAAUCUGAGCAUGGGGGGCGAAAGACUAAUCGAACCAUCUAGUAGCUGGUUACCGCCGA